UGCUGUUUUCACUGAAUAGCAAGAAAUGAUUAUGGCACUUGAUAAAGACGAUCAGCCUUCACAAGGAAAGCAACAAAGAGGAAACAGUGUGCCAAAGUGUAAGACAGUUUAGAGUUGAAUAGUGAUGAAAAAUAGGUUGCAGUACCAACUUGCUUUUCAUCAGCUUUUCGGAGAAGAAACUAAGUUGUUUCCAAGGAUUCUUCACUCAGAGUGUCAGCCCCCUGCUACUUUUGGAGGAAUGAAAAUUAUUUCAGGACAUUGCAUACCUGGACACAAUAUCUGUUACAAAAACAACCACGGUCUAAGGUAAUGUGAUAGACUACUACGGGCAUUAAGCCAUAUGGCAUUGGACAAGUGUUAUGCAGGAAGCCUGCUCCAAAGAUGUUUUUGGUAAGUGUGAAUAACCUUUAUACUUAAGCUGUGUUAGGAGUUUAACACUGGAAGACCAUUGAAAGCAAUGGAAGGAUUUGCAUGCUUUGAAACCUUUACCACGUGAAGUGAAAUUAAAAAUGUUGCACUAAAUAUCCCCAUCUCUGUACCCAACUGACCACGUUGGACUCAGUGUAUGUGGGAAUUAGAAUCUGAGAAGAGAAGCAAUUUAAUCUGACUCUCUGAAUAGCAGAAGCUUUUAUUAUUUUUCAUACUUUGAGCUGUGUGUAAGAAAAUGUGUACUCCCAUGUUUUUUGAAAGCAGUCCACCUUUACCUAAUUCUUUCUGAGUAUGGUCUGUGGUAAGUUGGAAGAUGGAGAAAAAGUAGUAAAUAUUUCUGUAAGCAUAGAAAUGGUGAAUUUUGAUUUCCUCUGGCCUUCUGACGUCAAUCCAUACUAUUCUGGCAUUCUUCCUUGUAGUUUGUGACCCCUUUUCAUAUCUCCAUCAAACAUAUCCUUGGUUCUCUUUCAUGUUCCCUAUGCCACUCCUAUUUUUUUCUGUGGUCCCUGCUUGCAUUUCCCCUGGUUUCUGUCAGAGACGUUAUGGCUGAUUUAGAAUUACAGAUACCCUGAUUGGUGUCAGUUGCUCUCUCUUGACUAUUAGUCUAACAGUAUUUUAGUAUCUCUGCUACUUCAGACCCUCAAGUACCUAGAGAUCUUCAUUGUAAUAAUUUAUACGAAUAUUUUAGUGAACCUCCUAAAUGGUAUUCAGAGUGGUUUAGUAGUAUGCAGUGGUAAAGACUGUUGCUAUAAUGAUGUAAAUUAUUUGGUUUAGUGGCUGUAUCAUCUUUAUUGAUGAUAACUCAAAAGUAUGGAGAAACUUCUAGCCACGAAUAAGUAGACUUUUCCAAUUCUGCAAACUAGAAGGGGGUUCAUUGAAGAGCACACAGAAUUGUUUUGGAUGAUUGAGCUCAGAGCACUCUUUUGGCAGUUAAGACUAAUGCAAUGGGGAAAAAAAAAAAGGUGGGGGCGAAGGGGGAGAAAUUUGGUAGUAUUAAUAGCAAAAGAAUGCAAAAAUAAAAAUGAGGAACUCAAAUACA
rnacentral:lncRNA from 1 species